AUCUUUGCAACUCUUAAUCUCGCUACCUCCCCCUCCUCUCUUCUCUCUUCUCCCUCUCUCUCCUCUUUUCUCUACCGCUGUCUCUGAGACUUCUUCUUCCCUUUUUCCUAAAGAAGUUGAUCCAGAAAUUCGAAAAGCCCUGGGCAGAGUUGUUGAAUGGGAUGUGCAAUUAGAGAGGGGAUUUUGUUGGGAGGCAAGAGGGUCCCCCAGGCUCCACAUAGUCCAGGUCGGCAGGCAAGGAAAGACGGCUGACCAGCCCAGCGGGCGCGGUUUGCACAUGGUUUGCACGUCGGGCCGCCUCUUUCUGCCUAUAAUUCAGCUGCCUCUCUGAGGAGUGGUGGAGGAGCUGCGGGAGCCGAGAAGCCCAAGAGCCCUCUGGACCCAGAAAAGUCCUACAGAUGCCCACUCCUCACCACACAACAGAAGGAGCUCUGGUCCUGCCUGCCAGCCCCAGAGGGCACUCAAACUUUGGAGGCCAGCCACCCGGAUGAAGUGAAUAAGGCCUGAAAAUUGCUUGUUUGCUCGUAUUGUAAAAUAAUAAUAAUUACCAUUAUUAUUUUUA
rnacentral:lncRNA from 1 species